UGAGCGUCAAGCCUGGGUCUGGGUGCU
rnacentral:piRNA from 1 species